GAUGAAGAACGCAGCGAAAUGCGAUAAGUAAUGCGAAUUGCAGAAUUCCAGUGAGUCAUCGAAUCUUUGAACGCACAUUGCGCCCUGUGGUAUUCCGCAGGGCAUGCCUGUUCGAGCGUCAUUUCAACCCUCAAGCUCUGCUUGGUGUUGGGCCCUGCCCGCUGCGGUCGGCCCUAAAGACAGUGGCGGUGCCGCCUGGCCCUGAGCGUAGUACAUCUCUCGCUCCAGUGCCCGGUGGUAGCCUGCCAGAACCCCAACUCUCGUGGUUGACCUCGGAUCAGGUAGGGAUACCCGCUGAACUUAAGCAUAUCAAUAAGCGGAGGA
rnacentral:misc_RNA from 1 species